CUGUAGGCACUGGUGGGUGCCACCUGGAUCUUAAGGAUGCCAAGACAGAUCUCCCUCAGCAGAUCCCCCUAGCAUAGGCUAGGCAGGCUCCAGAUACCAGCUCCCCUCUCCCUGGUCCCCCUCCCUCAGGGCAGAGGCAUCUGUCUCUCUACACAGCCUCUGUUGUGUACAAACUAACUGUAGGUCUGUCUCCAUUAAAACUGCCUUUAGUUCAAGGGUUCUUAACUUGAAGUCUGCAGGUGGUAUGGUCAGGCUUUGUGUCCCCAGCCAAAUCUCUUCUUGAAGUGUAAUCCCCAUAAUCCCCAUGUGUCAAGGGAGAGACCAGGUGGAGGUAAUUGAAUCAGGGGGCUGGUUUCUCCCAUGCUGUUCUCAUGAUAGUGACUUCUCAUGAGAUCUGAUGACUUUAUAAUGAGCUUUUCUCCCUUUGCUUGGCACUUCUCCUUCCUGCCACCAGUGAAGAUGAAGCCUUGCUUUCCCUCCACGUUCUACCAUGAUUGCAAGUUUCCUGAAGCCUCUUCAGCCAUGCUGAACUCAAUCCUAACUCUUCCCUGCAGAAUGGAGGUUUCUGGUUGAACUGCAAGAUGGUCAGGUAUAAUGAAAUAUGAAAAAUGAAAGCGUCAUGUGGCAUUGCAAAAUAUUAUUUGCCUAAAAGUGCUCAGUAAAGAAGGACAAAAAAUAUCUCUGGCAUUCAAGAUAUAUUUUUUAAAACUCUGAUUCUUCCUGUGACCUCUUCCUGUCCCUUCCCAGUCUGGGAUGAAAAACAACAGUGAAGUUUAAGAGGAACAUUAAAGAUUCCAGUGAUUUUGGUGAUGAUACAAUCAUCAGUGACCAGGAGAGGACAUCCACAGGUAUGCCCCCAUCCACCUUCACAGAGGAACUCAUCUGCAGUCAGCACCUCCCUGCAAACUCUGCUUCCAAUGAGAGAUGUCCCCUUCCUGCCUCACUAUUCAGCCUGGCACUUCCCAAAGCUCAGUCAUCUCACUCAUGGAUGACCACAAAGAGAAAUGAGUGACACUUGGCAUCAGAUUCAGUAUGCCCUUGACGCCCCGGCCCUACUAAAGAGGAAGAAUCAGUAUAGCUAAUUCUGGCUUUAGUGGGAAACACCUGAGAAACCAGCAUGCUCUGUCCCUCAGAUCCAUUUUACUUCUUAGUUUUCCUUCUUUGUAUUAUUUCCCAUUCAGACAUCUGCCAUCAUCCUAGAGACUCAUGAAUUUAUGAUACCAUUAGUGUUUUUGAAAAGCAAGUACAUCUCUUCCCAGAUGUUAUUUUGUAUAAAGAUUUUUUCUUCCUCUGUACUAGUUCAAAUAAACCAAGUCAUGAAUCUAAUUUGAAUGAAGGC
rnacentral:lncRNA from 13 species